rnacentral:rRNA from 1 species
UACGUAGGGGGCAAGCGUUGUCCGGAAUCAUUGGGCGUAAAGAGCGUGUAGGUGGCUCGGUAAGUCCGCUGUAAAAGUCCAGGGCUCAACCCUGGAAAGCCGGUGGAAACUGUCGAGCUAGAGUCCGGAAGAGGCGAGUGGAAUUCCUGGUGUAGCGGUGAAAUGCGCAGAUAUCAGGAGGAACACCGAUGGCGAAGGCAGGUCUCUGGGCCACUACUGACGCUGAGAAGCGAAAGCAUGGGGAGCGAACAGG